GGGUCAGUAGGUUGGUCGUGCCACCGGUACGUACUGGUCUCACUGAUUCCUCCUUCCUGAAGAACCGUAAUACCAUUAAUUUGGUGUUGCGGGGAAACAGGACUGUUACUUUGAAAAAAUUAGAGUGUUUAAAGCAGGCUAACGCUUGAAUACAUUAGCAUGGAAUAAUGAAAUAGGACGAUCGAUCCUAUUUUGUUGGUUUCUAGGAUUGACGUA
rnacentral:rRNA from 1 species